AUUGAACGCUGGCGGCAGGCCUAACACAUGCAAGUCGAGCGGAUGAAGGGAGCUUUCUCCUGGAUUCAGCGGCGGACGGGUGAGUAAUGCCUAGGAAUCUGCCUGGUAGUGGGGGAUAACGUCCGGAAACGGGCGCUAAUACCGCAUACGUCCUGAGGGAGAAAGUGGGGGAUCUUCGGACCUCACGCUAUCAGAUGAGCCUAGGUCGGAUUAGCUAGUUGGUGGGGUAAAGGCCUACCAAGGCGACGAUCCGUAACUGGUCUGAGAGGAUGAUCAGUCACACUGGAACUGAGACACGGUCCAGACUCCUACGGGAGGCAGCAGUGGGGAAUAUUGGACAAUGGGCGAAAGCUUGAUCCAGCCAUGCCGCGUGUGUGAAGAAGGUCUUCGGAUUGUAAAGCACUUUAAGUUGGGAGGAAGGGCAGUAAGUUAAUACCUUGCUGUUUUGACGUUACCAACAGAAUAAGCACCGGCUAACUUCGUG
rnacentral:rRNA from 1 species